rnacentral:rRNA from 1 species
GACGAACGCUGGCGGCGUGCCUAAUACAUGCUAGUAGUACGCAGUUGCGAACGGGUGAGUAACGCGUAGGUAACUGCCUCAUAGCGGGGGAUAACUAUUGGAAACGAUAGCUAAUACCGCAUCCUGUGAGAUGGACCUGCUUUGUAUUAGCUAGUUGGUGAGGUAAAGGCUCACCAAGGCGACGAUACAUAGCCGACCUGAGAGGGUGAUCGGCCACGCUGGGCGUGGGACACGGGCAAGAGUCGUACGGGAGGCAGAAGUAGGGAGUCUGCGGCAAGGAACGGAAGUCUGACCGGGCAACGCCGCGUGAGUGAAGAAGGUUUUUGAAUCGUAAAGCUCGGUUGUUAUAGAAGCGGAAACUAACCAGAAAGGGACGGCUAACUACGUGGCAGCCGCCGCGGUAAUUC